rnacentral:tRNA from 1 species
GCCGACGUGAUGCAACUGGCAGACAUCGUUGUUUCAGAUACAACGUUCUGGUGGUUCGAAUCCACUCGUCGGCACCA